rnacentral:lncRNA from 1 species
CGCGCCGGCCGCCAAGGGCCUCCCUGGCCUCGCGGACCCGGGGCUCCGGGGCCUGCCCUUGCGUGCCUACGGCACCACCGACGCCCCACCCUUCUGCUCCUGUACCCGAGCCUGCCUCGUUCCCUCUCCUGAAGGCGUGGAGUCCUUCCAUGCCCACCCGGGGAAGACGAGGGACGAGUCCAUCGCAUGUAUUGGUUCCUGUCCGCCAGCCCCGCGCCUGACCAGCGUAGCCCCAAGCCCACCUCUUAGAGCUUCAGCAGUUGAGCGCCCCGUUCUGUGUGCGGGAUAUGCAUUGUGCAUGGCGCCGCCUUCUUCUCCAACUUCGCCUUGCUCCUGCUCCUUUUACCGGCACGAAUUGUUCCAGAGGCCCCCAAAUGUCCUCUGAACAGUAAAACGCUGGGUAGCCCGUUCUAAACACAUUUCCGUAAUUGAAGCAUGCUUAAUUAGCUACAGGAGAG